rnacentral:rRNA from 1 species
UACGUAGGUGGCAAGCGUUAUCCGGAAUUACUGGGCGUAAAGCGCACGCAGGCGGCUCGUCCAGUUCGACGUGAAAGCUCCCGGCUUAACUGGGAGAGAUCGUUGAAAACUGGCGAGCUUGAGGCAAUGAGAGGGGUGUAGAAUUCCCGGUGUAGUGGUGGAAUGCGUAGAUAUCGGGAGGAAUACCAGUGGCGAAAGCGGCACCCUAGCGUUGUUCUGACGCUCAUGUGCGAAAGCGUGGGGAGCGAACGGG